UCUUUUCCUUCCUUCCUUCCUUCCUUCCUUCCUUCCUUCCUUCCUUCCCUUCCGCCCGCCGCCCACAAGACGGAAUCCUCCCCCCGAACACCAAGAGAGCGCGGAAGAAACGCGGCAGCGCCGGUUACCGAGCGGCAGGAGCUGAGAAGGGUUGGUGGUCGCGUUAGCCGCCAUGUUGGACCCAGACCUGACCAAUCGCUGCUUCCACCGCCUCCCGAGAGGGCCAGCCCCGACGAGCGGAUGGCAGAGCUGCCGCUCCCCCACUCCGGUGCCUCCUCCCUGUCCCUCCCCCGCCCCCGACCGUUUUCCUAUAAAUGCCGGGAACGAGCGGGAGUCAUGACAUUUCGUGAGGUGGGUGUUGAACGCGCGGCUCGCGUUCCUGGCAGUCGCGCGUGUUGAACGCAUCCCGGUAGAGUUUUAAAGGAAACCCCCUUUAUUUCUCCUCCAGCCGUCCGGCGCCGCCUUGGGCUGUGGCCGGUGCAACCGGUACCCGAACAGCCCGGCGGCCUCAGGGUGUCAAUCUCCCCUUCAAAUAAGUCUUCUUUCCCUCGGGUGCGUCAGGUGGAAGGAUUUUAUGCACUGUACAUCAUAGCUGUUUUAUGUGCUGGUAGUUAUGUUUUCCCCCAGAUUUGCUUAUCAAUUCACAAGAUGGCUGUUGUAAGAAGGAUUUUUGAAGCCCUUUUGCCUGUGCACAAUGGGCUUGGAGCCAAAAAACCACUGGCCAUUCAAACAGGCUUUGCUUGCUUAAUGCUACAGCAUUAAUUAAACCGGCGUUUCAACUUCCAGAGCCAUUGCACGUUUUAUGACAGGGCAGAUGCCAGAAGAAUUGAGCCUGAAUAAACUCUGUCCUUCGCCUAGGAAGGUGGUGCUGCCUCCAGAAGCACAUGUGCCUUUUGAAGGAUGAACAGCUGCUGGCUUGGUUCUUAAAUGUGGUUAGUUCCCAGAUAAGGCACAGGUAUUCAUCGAAGAUACUUGAAAUACAAGAGCUCAAGACAAACCAGACAAUUGUUUCAUCCCUCCAGCUGGACACCACCACAGCCUCUUGGACUCCCCUGGAGUGUCACCCAGGUUAUUGGGGCCUGGAGGGGGCAUUUUGUCAUUCCGAGGAUGACAAAACCAGUGGGGGGUGGCUGUCCUCAGCUACCAAACGGGUGAGUGAAGAUGAAGCCAGACGCAAGCUGGCAGUGCGCAGAGAAUACCAACAAGUCAUCAAAGAAGGUAGAUGCCCCAUCCCUGCAAACAUUCAAGAUGGAGAGACAGCUCUUUAAGAGAAGCCUUCAGUCCUGACAGGAAGUAGUUUUGGCAAGACCGGGCAAUGAACAAUUAAAAAAACCAAUAAAACCCAAUUUAAAAUCCAAAACCCACUCUCCUCUCUUAUUUGCCACUUUUGAGACUGCAUGCGGACUCCCAUGUCCUGUUCUGGUGUCCCCAGGACAGGAAAGACACUGACAAACACAGUGCGGGCCCAGUCCAGCGCCUUCAAGAUGGUGAGGGGCCAGGGCACAUGGCACACCAGGGCAGGCAGAGGAAACUGCCGCUGUGCAGCUGGGAGAAGAGAAGGCUCAGGGCUGGAUCUGACUGCUGAUCUUCCAGAAUGCUGCAAAGCAACUGCUUCCCUGACCCAAUACCACAUAGAAAACCAUCCUGUUUAUCUCCCACAUGCACUUCACUAUUGCUAGUUUUGGUAUCCAGAACAGCAAAGGCCUUGGGUAAAAAAAAAAAUAAAAUAAAAAAAUAGAGAGAGCUUGAUUUCCCCCAGCUUGCAUCCCUACUUUCUUUGGUAGGAUACAACCCACGGGCUCAUCUCUCCUACCUGCUUCCGGAGUCUGCUUGCUCAAACAAGAAGUAUGAGAGCAUUCAAAUGCGAGUGUUGUUUGCCAACAUGCAGGGAAGCGGCAUUCCACCUCUAGUUCAUGAGACAGGUGAGAAAAAAGCUUCAUCUCAAUGGUAGGAAUAAAACAUGGAAGUGGAGCUUUGCCAUGAAAACUGGUUCUACAAGAAAAAAAUACCUCUGGGAGCUCCUGAGCUCCUCUGGGUUUAAGGUCUUUAACACCACAGCCAGCAGGGAGCAAGCCAUGCUGUCAACUACUUUUUUACACCUUGGUUUCUAAUCAACAGCACUGUUUGCUUUGCUCUCAUGUGGACCCAUGGAGUGGACUGGCAGGUAUCCAGCACAGGUUACUGGAGCCCAGGGCUUGCACCAAACCAAGGAACACAGGAAACUGACAGUGCUGGUGCACCUCAAGGACUUCAUAUCCAGUUUGCUCUGUAAGUAAGUUAAAACAGUGGGGUGGUUUGGUAUGGUUUGGUUUAUGGUUUUUUUUGUUUUGUUUUGUUUUUUUCAUCUGCUACACCAUCUCUCUCGCUCUAUAGAGAAAAAAAAAAGCAAACUAUUCCAUCGCUUACUCAUGUAUUUUCAUGUCCUUCCAGUGCUCUCUUUUUUAACACUUGCCUAGCUGUAUUGUGCUCACAGACAGAAUAUGAAACCCCAUUCAGCACCGUGGCAACAGGGGCUAGAAUGAAAUAGCACUCCUUCAUUCACAGAUGAGUUGCAGCUAAAUUACUAACAGACCAAGAAGCAGCAAGGUGGAAAAAGGCAGUUCUGAAUGUACACAGGCAGUAGGGCUGCUGCACUUGGGCAGCUGUUUCCAUCCAGCAGCCCCUUUUCAGAGCAGAGUAGCCCCAAGUGAAAACUGCCCUUCUUCAAGGGUUUCAGGAGAGAAAGGGGACCCAUUUGCUCAUUUGCAAUUUGCAUUACUCAACACUGAAUUAUUCUUACUGACUACAGCCUGCAGUGCAUUUUCAUUAACUAAUGGCCCUAAAAGCAGCAGUGACCAAUUUAGGAUCUCACAGGAGGGUCUGAGUAUGCAUCUGUAUUAGCUGCAAAUUUGACCUAAUUCCUAUUUACUUCAGACACAAUCAGGAGCAACUGACACAACCGGUCAGAAUCAGGCAGUCUGAGUCAGGUCUUGACACAGACAGGGCCCGACUCCUUCCAA
ensembl:lncRNA